GUUUUAACAAUUAAUCGCCGAUCAAUAAAGGUUUCCUUUUGGUUUUUUUUUGUGUUUUGUUUUACAUUUUGUUUUUUUUUUUUUUAUUUACUUGGUUGUAUUUUAUUUUAUUGAUUUUUGUAUAAAGAACUAAAUUCGCAGCAUACUAUUUUACUUAAAAAGCAGACAAAGUCGUAGAAUACAAAGUCGUAGUGAUACAAAAUAAAAUUUGUUAAAAUAUCAUGAAUGGCAAUGAUAAAAGACAUUCUCUAAUAACGGACAAACAAAAGAAUAUGGAGUUUAAAUUAAACUUUAAAAAUGUUUGCACUUCAAAAAAUUCAGCAAUGAAUAAAUACAUCUUAAAUGGUCAUCAAUGCUUAUAGGAAUAGGUAAGAAAAUUAGUUUUGGUAGAUUUUAUUAGUUUGUUUCAAUUUGCACAAACACGAACAAAUCAUAAUAAUGGAAAAGUCUUUGCAAAAAGUUCCAUAUACGGCAAUCUUCCGGUGAUAUCAUCGCAUAAAUAUGAUAUCAUCGUAUAAAGCGAAUCAUCAUUGUAUAAUGAAAUGAAUGUCUGCCUCAAGAAAUAAAUGUAUUUAGUAAACUACUUUGGAUUAUAUUGAGAUGAGCCACACUUUAAAAGUUAAGUGAAGAUUUGUUUGACGAAUAGAAAAGAAGAAUAAAGGCGAAUUCAUACUAUAAUUCCCAUUUUCAAGUAGGAAAUAUUCUAUAAGGUGUUUUUUGGAGGUUUAGAAAUUUGGCAAAUCACCACACAAAGACUUACACCAGAACAAAGUUUAAGCAGAGAUCACAGGAUUGGUCAAAUGUACCGAUUUUUGUUCAUUUGUAUGUACAGAUCGUUUGAAUGGCAAAAAAUAUUGGGCAGAAUGCAGAUAGAACAUUUUUUUUGGCAGAAAAGCAGAUAAAAAUGAGUUGUUUUGUAUCAAUCGUGUGAACUUUUCAUACACCGAUGAAGACAGAAAAAAUUCUUAAAUGUGCAGAUAAUUUUUUCUGCCACUUAAUGACCGAUCAUAGUGACCAAAGCAGAUAAGUGCAUUUAAUUUUGUGUUGUUUUCGAAAAUUAAGAUUUUUUAAUAAUUAUUUCAUAAUGUAUUAUUAGGUCUUAUAUAUUUUUGAAAUUUGGCAGCACUGAUUUGAUAAAAAACACACACCACUGCUUCUUGCAUCUGCGUUAUUCAUAUAACUUUUGAAUAAUGGACACAGAUAAACAAGAAGUUAGGCGACCACACAAAGGAACAACACCAACGCCAGAAAAAUAUAAGCGAAAGCGACUUCAUGUGACAACGGCAUGGUCUACAGAAGACGUCAUUAAUUUAUUAACAAUAAUUGAAAGCAAUUCAUGCCUUUGGGAAUACUCUUCUGCAGAUAACAAGAACCGCUAAAAGAGAAAAUGCAUGGCGAGAUGUUGCUACUAAAUGCCCUGACCAUGACGUAGAUAAAUGUAAAGCGGAAUGGGCAAAUGUGAAAACAGCCUACAAAACAAAACAAAAUUAAAGACAAAAUCGGGUCAAGGUGCAUCGACCACGGAACCUCAUUGGCCUUUCUGGACUGUCAUGCAGUUUUAUCACAAUCAUGACAG